rnacentral:rRNA from 1 species
GGUUAAAAAGCUCGUAGUUGGAUUUCUGUUGAGGAUGUCCAGUCCGCACUUUGUGCGAGUAUUUGGUACAGCCUCGGCAUCCUCCUGGGGAGCGUAAUUGUACUUGAUUGUAUGAUACGUAAUUCAGGACUUUUACUUUGAGGAAAUUAGAGUGUUCACGGCAGGCAUUUGCCUUGAAUAUGUUAGCAUGGAAUAAUAAUAUAAGACCUCGGUUUUAUUUUGUUGGUUUCUAGAAGCGGGGUAAUGAUUAAUAGGGACAAUUGGGGGUAUUCGAAUUAACGCGUCAGAGGUGGAAUUCUUGGAUUGCGUUACGACGAACUACUGCGAAAGCAUUUACCAAGGAUGUUUUCAUUGAUCAAGGACGAAAGUCAGGGGAUCCGAAGACGAUUAGAUACCGUCG